GCAUGCGCACAGUCGCACCGCUGCUUGCGAGCGAGAACUUGGCUUCAAGACUUGACGGGAGAGCGCGCGCGAGUGCAAACGCCGUCCGCACGCCAUCGACGAUGCGGUCCACCUCUGCGCUGUAUCGCCACGCAUGUGAUGAGGAAGGCUGCGUCUCUCACAGUGAGCUGGUGAAGCUUUUUCACGGCAUCGACGUGGCCCUCGGCACGGAUGCCGAUGCUACCACGAACGCCAACGACAUGACGGCGGCGCCGCAACCGCCAGCGCUCGCCGACAAGAUGCUUCUGGCCUAUGCCCCCAACCUGUGCUUCCCCACUCACCUUACCCUGUCGCAGUCCUAUCUCGGCGACACCGGGCUCGCGGCUUUCAUGCGAAUGCUACCGAUGCUGCGGUGGGUGCGCGUCAUCGAAGCGCGCGGCGUCGGCGCAGGACCCCGCACGAUCGAAGCGCUGAGUGCUGCUCUGACGGCGUACUUGGUGGAGGGGUGCGAGGAAGCCGCCGCGCUGCCGACCGUGGCGACAAUGGGCGACUCUGUGUCGGGAGCAGAGCAGCUGGCGGGUGGACGGCUGCCCGCCCUGGAGCUGGUAGACUUGCGCGACAGCAACGGCAUCUACGCCCUCUCCGGUCAGCGGCUUCUCACUGCCCUCCGCAAGCGGCGCUUGAUGUUGCGUGCGUGGUGCGCCGCCCACGCUGGCGUGGGCGAUGUUGUACCAGCGCUGGAGGUGCUCGUGGAUCUUGACGCGCUCCCGCCAUCCACGGCGAACGCGCUGCAUGAGUGGAACGAGGAGGCCGCGAACAUCAAGUAUCAGCGCAUGCUGGCCCGCGAGACGCAUCGGUGGCAAGAACAAGUGCAAGUGUUCACAGUGCGUAGCGCCGUCAGCGAGGCAAUGAAGCUCGGCGACAGCGAUAUGCCAGACACUGCCGUUGCUGGGGCAGCGGCCAGGCAGCCUGUUGGCGAACACGUCAUCUUCCGCUUACCCUCCUCCGCCGACGGUGACUCGCAGACGGCACAGAUGACGUGCGAAGUAAACGCGUGCAUGAGCGACUUCCUGACCGCGUCGUGCUGCCUCAGCUCGGCAGAGGGGGCAGCACCACAGCCCGCCCAUGUUGUGAGUGGCUAUUCAUCUCUCGCUUGCCCGCUACCCACCUUGGACGGCGUGCGUGCUGCACUGCAAGUGUGCAUCGACUUCGGCGCCGACACGCUUGCCAUCCUGCCACACACCAACGCUGCCCUCUGGUACGUGGCAAGUGUUUGGCAGCAGCAGCAGCAGAAGCAGCAUACAACGACGCCGUCAAGCAGCACAGACACCGCCGAAGAUGUACAGCUGAACUACUGGGAGGCGAAGGCGAACGUGGCGGCUCUUCUGCGCGGCCUUCAGGCCAACCCGGCUCUCGAGACGGAGCUGGAGACAUCGACGCAGGCGGGUGGCAUUGUGAUUCAGCGCCACCUGUAUCGACUGCGACAGUUGUACGUGCAGCUCGACCAGAACGACGCCCCGCACGAAAACGCGAUCUGCACCGCGCGAGUGGCAGAAGCGGGAGCAACACCGCUGGGCGAGAUGGUGGCCCUCUACUACCGAAUCGUCGCCGCCCUCGUCACUCGGCGCUUCUCCGAGACUCAUCUCCCCUCGAUGCGAGCGUGCGAGCAGCACAUAUCGGACGUCACCGAGCACGUGCUCAGCCACCUCGUGGUCGGCGAGGAGUCGUCAGAAGCGCUGGAGGCGCGCAUCGAGCGCCUUCGCUGGCGCCUGCGCAGCUCCAGCGAUGCGGGGAGCGUGCCCAGCGGACGGCCCGCUGGCGAUUCUGGCUUCAGCCAGAGCAUGCGUGCACUGCCUCCGGUAAUGGCUCGGUGCCUGUAUCAUCUCCGACGCCACCAAGCCGAGGGGGAAGCGUGGGUGAAGACGUACGCAGGAACGGCUGUUGCAGCUCCACAGCUGUCGUCGUCGGCCGCGGCUGCCCCCAUCCACGCCUUCCACGCUUGUCACUGCGCAGACGGGCUGCGACGCCAUAUGGACGAGUGCGCCGCGCCGACCUCCUCCAAUGAAGGGCUGUCGUCUAACUUGCUUCCGCUGCCGUGCACCUCCUGCUGCUACCAUGCUCUGCAAGCUGCGCAGACACUCCUGCAAAGCCCGGGGGAGGAGUCGUCGGGGGAGUCUGAGCUGUGUGCACGGUGGGCUAUUCUGGAGCCGGUGCGGCGAGCCCUCCCGCGCGAGCUGCGCAUGUUCUUCUUGGAUAUGGUUAUUCGCCAUCGCAGUCGCGUGCGCGGCGGAUGUGCAUACGUUCCGUCGCUGGACUCCGUGGCGGGUGCCGGUGCGCCGCUGCCGGUGAGUAUGGUGGACUGGCUGGCAUACACCGAGCACCAGGGCGAGAACUGGGCAAAGGUCCUUCGCGUGUUCGGCGAGUGGUAUCGGCUGCGUGCCUUGGAGUCGUAUGGGAUUGCUGAGGCGCGUACACUGCUGCGCCAACCGCCCACCUAGCGCCGCCACGCAUUCCCACACAUAUGGAGGAGAAGGGGCAUUCUGCCUGCGUGCGGAAGAGCGCACCCACGCGCGUUCCCGCCCGCCCUCUUUUCUCCAUGAGUAAUGUACAAUAGACCCCUCCAUGCGGUGCUUGCGACGCUUUCCUCGCUUUCCAUCGUUGGAUUCUUUGGCGUGCUAUCGCCGCCUUUUGUGUGUGUGCGCGGAUGCGGUGCUGCACUGGACGCGCGUCGUCCUGCGGGCCAAGUCAUUGUUCACGCAACGAAAUAC
rnacentral:misc_RNA from 1 species